rnacentral:rRNA from 1 species
GAUGAACGCUGGCGGCGUGCUUAACACAUGCAAGUCGAACGGAACGCCAAGGAAAGAGUUUUUCGGUACAAUGGAAUUGGUUGUUUAGUGGCGGACGGGUGAGUAACGCGUGAGGAACCUGCCUUGGAGUGGGGAAUAACACAGUGAAAAUUGUGCUAAUACCGCAUAAUGCAGUUGGGUCGCAUGACUCUGGCUGCCAAAGAUUUAUCGCUCUGAGAUGGCCUCGCGUCUGAUUAGCUAGUUGGUGGGGUAACGGCCCACCAAGGCGACGAUCAGUAGCCGGACUGAGAGGUUGGCCGGCCACAUUGGGACUGAGACACGGCCCAGACUCCUACGGGAGGCAGCAGUGGGGAAUAUUGGGCAAAUGGGCGCAAGCCUGACCCAGCAACGCCACGUGAAGGAAGAAAGGCUUUCGGGUUGUAAACUUCUUUUCUUAGGGACGAAGCAAGUGACGGUACCUAAGGAAUAAGCCACGGCUAACUAACGUGCCAGCAGCCGCUGU